rnacentral:misc_RNA from 1 species
GUGAAUCAUCAAAUUUUUGAACGCAAAUUGCACUUUCUGGUAUUCCGGAAAGUAUGCCUGUUUGAGGGUCAGUUAAAUAAAAAUCGGUGUUGUUGCUGCUUUUGUUGGUGACGCGCCGGAAUUGAGUGUUUUUACCUUCGGUUAAGUGACUUAAAUUUUUGCUGGUUUUUCGAAGGUUUUAAAUUUUUUAAGUUAGUUUGAG